rnacentral:tRNA from 1 species
AAAAGAUCAAAAACGAUAGGUUCCACCGAGAUUUGAACUCGGGUCGCAGGAUUCAAAGUCCUGAGUGCUAACCGCUACACCAUGGAACCGACGGCG